AUUGAACGCUGGCGGCAGGCUUAACACAUGCAAGUCGAGCGGAGAUGAGGUGCUUGCACCUUAUCUUAGCGGCGGACGGGUGAGUAAUGCUUAGGAAUCUGCCUAUUAGUGGGGGACAACAUUCCGAAAGGAAUGCUAAUACCGCAUACGCCCUACGGGGGAAAGCAGGGGAUCUUCGGACCUUGCGCUAAUGGAUGAGCCUAAGUCGGAUUAGCUAGUUGGUGGGGUAAAGGCCUACCAAGGCGACGAUCUGUAGCGGGUCUGAGAGGAUGAUCCGCCACACUGGGACUGAGACACGGCCCAGACUCCUACGGGAGGCAGCAGUGGGGAAUAUUGGACAAUGGGCGAAAGCAUGAUCCAGCCAUGCCGCGUGUGUGAAGAAGGCCUUUUGGUUGUAAAGCACUUUAAGCGAGGAGGAGGCUACCUGGAUUAAUACUCUAGGAUAGUGGACGUUACUCGCAGAAUAAGCACCGGCUAACUCUGUGCCAGCCGCCGCCGUAACAC
rnacentral:rRNA from 1 species